rnacentral:rRNA from 1 species
GGGUGAGUAACACGUGGAUAACCUACCUAUAAGACUGGGAUAACUUCGGGAAACCGGAGCUAAUACCGGAUAAUAUAUUGAACCGCAUGGUUCAAUAGUGAAAGACGGUUUUGCUGUCACUUAUAGAUGGAUCCGCGCCGCAUUAGCUAGUUGGUAAGGUAACGGCUUACCAAGGCAACGAUGCGUAGCCGACCUGAGAGGGUGAUCGGCCACACUGGAACUGAGACACGGUCCAGACUCCUACGGGAGGCAGCAGUAGGGAAUCUUCCGCAAUGGGCGAAAGCCUGACGGAGCAACGCCGCGUGAGUGAUGAAGGUCUUCGGAUCGUAAAACUCUGUUAUUAGGGAAGAACAAAUGUGUAAGUAACUAUGCACGUCUUGACGGUACCUAAUCAGAAAGCCACGGCUAACUACGUGCCAGCAGCCGCGGUAAUACGUAGGUGGCAAGCGUUAUCCGGAAUUAUUGGGCGUAAAGCGCGCGUAGGCGGUUUUUUAAGUCUGAUGUGAAAGCCCACGGCUCAACCGUGGAGGGUCAUUGGAAACUGGAAAACUUGAGUGCAGAAGAGGAAAGUGGAAUUCCAUGUGUAGCGGUGAAAUGCGCA